rnacentral:rRNA from 1 species
GCCCGCUCAGAAACUUAAAGGAAUUGACGGGGCCCGCACAAGCGGUGGAGUAUGUGGUUUAAUUCGAUGCAACGCGAAGAACCUUACCUGGUCUUGACAUCCCGGAGACCCUUAGGAAACUAGGGGGUGCUUCCAUCUGGAAGAAUCUGGAGACAGGUGCUGCAUGGCUGUCGUCAGCUCGUGUCGUGAGAUGUUGGGUUAAGUCCCGCAACGAGCGCAACCCUUGCCUUUAGUUGCCAGCAGUUCGGCUGGGCACUCUAAAGGGACUGCCGGUGUUAAACCGGAGGAAGGUGGGGAUGACGUCAAGUCCUCAUGGCCUUUAUGACCAGGGCUACACACGUACUACAAUGGCCGAUACAAAGGGCAGCGACACUGCGAGGUGAAGCCAAUCCCGUAAAAUCGGUCUCAGUCCGGAUUGGAGUCUGCAACUCGACUCCAUGAAGUUGGAAUCGCUAGUAAUCGUGGAUCAGCAUGCCACGGUGAAUACGUCCCCGGGCCUU